AGUGAACGCUGGCGGUAGGCCUAACACAUGCAAGUCGAACGGCAGCACAGUAAGAGCUUGCUCUUACGGGUGGCGAGUGGCGGACGGGUGAGGAAUACAUCGGAAUCUACUUUUUCGUGGGGGAUAACGUAGGGAAACUUACGCUAAUACCGCAUACGACCUACGGGUGAAAGCAGGGGAUCUUCGGACCUUGCGCGAUUGAAUUAGCCGAUGUCGGAUUAGCUAGUUGGCGGGGUAAAGGCCCACCAAGGCGACGAUCCGUAGCUGGUCUGAGAGGAUGAUCAGCCACACUGGAACUGAGACACGGUCCAGACUCCCACGGGAGGCAGCAGUGGGGAAUAUUGGACAAUGGGCGCAAGCCUGAUCCAGCCAUACCGCGUGGGUGAAGAAGGCCUUCGGGUUGUAAAGCCCUUUUGUUGGGAAAGAAAAGCAGCAGGUUAAUACCCCGCUGUUCUGACGGUACCCAAAGAAUAAGCACCGGCUAACUUCGUG
rnacentral:rRNA from 1 species